rnacentral:rRNA from 1 species
GACGAACGCUGGCGGCGUGCUUAACACAUGCAAGUCGAACGGAAAGGCCCUGCUUUUGUGGGGUGCUCGAGUGGCGAACGGGUGAGUAACACGUGAGUAACCUGCCCUUGACUUUGGGAUAACUUCAGGAAACUGGGGCUAAUACCGGAUAGGAGCUCCUGCUGCAUGGUGGGGGUUGGAAAGUUUCGGCGGUUGGGGAUGGACUCGCGGCUUAUCAGCUUGUUGGUGGGGUAGUGGCUUACCAAGGCUUUGACGGGUAGCCGGCCUGAGAGGGUGACCGGCAACAGUGGGAAUGAGAUAAGGCCCAGACUCCUACGGGAGGCAGCAGGGGGGAAUAUGGCACAAUGGGCGGAAGCCUGAGGCAGCAACGCCGCGUGCGGGAUGAAGGCCUUCGGGUUGUAAACCGCUUUCGCCUGUGACGAAGCGUGAGUGACGGUAAUGGGUAAAGAAGCACCGGCUAACUACGUG